rnacentral:rRNA from 1 species
AUUGAACGCUGGCGGUAUGCUUAAGACAUGCAAGUCGAACGGUAACAGACCUUCGGGUGCUGACGAGUGGCGGACGGGUGAGUAACACGUGGGAAUCUACCUUGUAGUGGGGGAUAAGCCAGGGAAACUUGGACUAAUACCGCAUACGCCCUAAGGGGGAAAGGAGCAAUUCGCUAUAAGAUGAGCCCGCGUCUGAUUAGCUAGUUGGUGAGGUAAAGGCUCACCAAGGCGACGAUCAGUAGCUGGUCUGAGAGGAUGACCAGCCACAUUGGGACUGAGACACGGCCCAGACUCCUACGGGAGGCAGCAGUCGGGAAUAUUGGACAAUGGGGGCAACCCUGAUCCAGCAAUACCGCGUGUGUGAAGAAGGCCUGCGGGUUGUAAAGCACUUUUA